rnacentral:rRNA from 1 species
GGAGGGUGCAAGCGUUAUCCGGAUUCACUGGGUUUAAAGGGUGCGUAGGUGGGUCUGUAAGUCAGUGGUGAAAUCCCCGAGCUUAACUUGGGAACUGCCGUUGAUACUAUAGAUCUUGAAUAUCGUGGAGGUAAGCGGAAUAUGUCAUGUAGCGGUGAAAUGCUUAGAUAUGACAUAGAACACCAAUUGCGAAGGCAGCUUACUACACGAUCAUUGACACUGAGGCACGAAAGCGUGGGGAGCAAACAGGAUUAGAUACCCUGGUAGUCCACGCCCUAAACUAUGGAUACUCGACAUCAGCGAUACACAGUUGGUGUCUGAGCGAAAGCAUUAAGUAUCCCACCUGGGAAGUACGAUCGCAAGAU